AGAGUUUGAUCCUGGCUCAGGACGAACGCUGGCGGCGUGCCUAACACAUGCAAGUCGAACGGAGAUCUUAUGGAAUGCGGCUUCGGCCAAAUGAAGUCUGAUCUUAGUGGCGGACGGGUGAGUAACGCGUGAGUAACCUGCCCUUCAGAGGGGGACAACAGUUGGAAACGACUGCUAAUACCGCAUAACGUAUUUUGAAGGCAUCUUCUGAAUACCAAAGGAGCAAUCCGCUGAAGGAUGGACUCUCGUCCGAUUAGAUAGUUGGUGAGGUAACGGCCCACCAACUCGACGAUCGGUAGCCGGACUGAGAGGUUGAUCGCCCACAUUGGGACUGACACACGGACCAAACUCCUACGGGAGGCAGCAGUGGGGGAUAUUGCACAAUGGGCGAAAGCCUGAUGCAGCAACGCCGCGUGAGGGAAGAAGGUUUUCGGAUUGUAAACCUCUGUUUUUAGUGAAGAAACAAAUGACAGUAGCUAAAGAGGAAGCCACGGCUAACUACGUGCCAGCAGCCGCGGUAAUACGUAGGUGGCAAGCGUUGUCCGGAAUUACUGGGUGUAAAGGGAGCGCAGGCGGGACUGCAAGUUGGAUGUGAAAUACCGAGGCUUAACCUCGGGGCUGCAUCCAAAACUGUGGUUCUUGAGUGGAGUAGAGGUAAGCGGAAUUCCGAGUGUAGCGGUGAAAUGCGUAGAUAUUCGGAGGAACACCAGUGGCGAAGGCGGCUUUCUGGGCUCUAACUGACGCUGAGGCUCGAAAGUGUGGGUAGCAAACAGGAUUAGAUACCCUGGUAGUCCACACUGUAAACGAUGAAUACUAGGUGUGGGGGGACUGACCCCUUCCGUGCCGGAGUUAACACAAUAAGUAUUCCACCUGGGGAGUGCGACCGCAAGGUUGAAACUCAAAGGAAUUGACGGGGGCCCGCACAAGCAGUGGAGUAUGUGGUUUAAUUCGAAGCAACGCGAAGAACCUUCCCAGGUCUUGACAUCCAACUACCGAAGUAGAGAUACAUUAGGUGCCCUUCGGGGAAAGUUGAGACAGGUGGUGCAUGGUUGUCGUCAGCUCGUGUCGUGAGAUGUUGGGUUAAGUCCCGCAACGAGCGCAACCCUCGUUCUAUGUUGCCAGCGGGUUAUGCCGGGGACUCAUAGGAGACUGCCGGGGUCAACUCGGAGGAAGGUGGGGACGACGUCAAAUCAUCAUGCCCCUUAUGUCUUGGGCUUCACGCAUGCUACAAUGGCCGGUACAAAGGGUUGCGAUACUGUGAGGUGGAGCUAAUCCCAAAAAGCCGGUCUCAGUUCGGAUUGAGGUCUGCAACUCGACCUCAUGAAGUUGGAGUCGCUAGUAAUCGCAGAUCAGCAACGCUGCGGUGAAUACGUUCCCGGGCCUUGCACACACCGCCCGUCA
rnacentral:rRNA from 1 species